rnacentral:rRNA from 1 species
UACGUAGGGGGCUAGCGUUGUCCGGAUUUAUUGGGCGUAAAGAGCGUGUAGGCGGCUUGAUAGGUCUGCUGUGAAAACUCGGGGCUCAACCCCGAGCUGUCGGUGGAAACCAUCUGGCUAGAGUCCGGAAGAGGAGAGUGGAAUUCCUGGUGUAGCGGUGAAAUGCGCAGAUAUCAGGAAGAAUAUCCGUGGCGAAGGCGGCUCUCUGGGACGGUACUGACGCUGAGACGCGAAAGCGUGGGGAGCGAACAGG